CAGCCCCUCGAGUGGUGGGGAUGAUUAUUUGGCCUAAAGCGUCCGUAGCCGGCCGAGCAAGUCUUCCGUUAAAUCCAGCGUCUCAAGCGUUGGACCGCGGGAGAUACUACACGGCUAGAGAGUGGGAGAGGUCAGCGGUAUUCUGGGGGUAGGGGCGGAAUCCUUUGAUCCCCGGAGGACCACCAGUGGCGAAGGCUGCUGACUAGAACACGUCUGACGGUCAGGGACGAAAGCUGGGGUAGCGAACCGGAUUAGAUACCCGAGUAGUCC
rnacentral:rRNA from 1 species